CCAUUUGUCGUAUUAGUUAUAGAGUUCCUUCUGAGCUUAGGGUGAUGAGCCUUCUUCGGUUGCCUUGGUCUGUAUUCUCAAAGGCUUGAAGUAUAAGUCUCUUAGCGACCAUUGGGGCAUGUAAAAUCCAUUCAGCUACUUGCACUGCCAAAGAAACUAGCUACAACAUUACAAAGAUCAGGAAGUUUAAAAACCAGUUUCAUCUGUAUAAAACAUCUGCAGAGUCCAGAGAAAUGGUGAGGGGGAAGAGGAGUCCCUCUGCAGAUUGUGGGUCUGCACCAGUGGGAAAAUACGUGGGAACUGGACAGCACAAGUUGGACAGCCAUCUGUUGGUGAUGCUCUGGAAUCAACCAAUCAAUCUGGAAUCAAGCAAGCAAGGUGUUAGAUUAGAUGGCCUACAACACCCCAUUCUGCUCUAUGGCUUAAAAAUCUAAUGGAAUAAUCUUAUCUGGGCUGCAGCAGGGUAUGACAAAGUGACAUAGCUGCCACCAUAUCUGCAGCCUUAUCUCUCAUGCUGACUGGGAAGGAAGGUGAGGGGGGCAGACAAAAGGCUGCUCUGGGCUACACCAGCCUGGAGUUUGCAUAGUGAUCAGGUCUGGU